CACGGGGGGAGCGAGCGUUGUUCGGAUUCAUUGGGCGUAAAGAGCUCGUAGGCGGCUCUGUAAGUCGGGAGUGAAAGACCACGGCUCAACCGUGGAACCGCUUUCGAAACUGUGGAGCUUGAGGCCGGGAGAGGGGAUCGGAAUUCCUGGUGUAGCGGUGAAAUGCGUAGAUAUCAGGAGGAACACCGGUGGCGAAGGCGGAUCUCUGGACCGGUUCUGACGCUGAGGAGCGAAAGCCAGGGGAGCAAACAGG
rnacentral:rRNA from 1 species